rnacentral:rRNA from 1 species
AACGAACGCUGGCGGCAGGCCUAACACAUGCAAGUCGAGCGCGCCCUUCGGGGUGAGCGGCGGACGGGUGAGUAACGCGUGGGAACGUGCCCUUUUCUACGGAAUAGCCUCGGGAAACUGAGAGUAAUACCGUAUACGCUCUCUCGGGAAAGAUUUAUCGGAAAAGGAUCGGCCCGCGUUGGAUUAGGUAGUUGGUGGGGGUAUGUCCUACUAAGGCGACGGUCCAUAGAUGGUAUGAGAGGAUGAGCAGCCACACUGGGACUGAGACACAGCCCAGACUCCUACGGGAGGCAGCAGUGGGGAAUCUUAGACAAUGGGGGCAACCCUGAACGAGCCAUGACGCGUGAGUGAUGAAGGCCGUAGGGUAGGAAAGCAAUUUCAGCUGGGAAGAUAAUGACGGUACCAGCAGAAGAAGCCCCGGCUAACUCCGUG